GAUGAACGCUAGCGGCAGGCCUAAUACAUGCAAGUCGAACGGUAGAUCGGGUAGCAAUACUUGAUUGAGAGUGACGUAAGGGUGCGUAACACGUAUGCAAUCUACCCUCAACAGGAGUAUAGCUCGGGGGAAACUCGGAUUAACACUCCAUAACAUUACGAUGUGGCAUCACAUUGUGAUUAAAACUCCGGUGGUUGAGGAUGAGCAUGCGUCUGAUUAGUUAGUUGGAGGUGUAACGGACCCCCAAGACGAUGAUCAGUGGGGGAACUGAGAGGUUGAUCCCCCACACUGGCACUGAGAUACGGGCCAGACUCCUACGGGAGGCAGCAGUAGGGAAUAUUGGUCAAUGGGUGAGAGCCUGAACCAGCCAUGCCGCGUGCAGGAAGACGGCCUUCUGGGUUGUAAACUGCUUUAUCUGGGGAUAAAAAGCCCAUGCGUGGGACAUUGAAGGUACCAGAUGAAUAAGCACCGGCUAACUACG
rnacentral:rRNA from 1 species